AUGGCCGUUCGGGAGGCUCUAGCUCUCGCUCAAGAUCUUAAUGAACAAAAGAUACACGUAACUUCUGAUUGCAAGGUGGUGGUGGACGACAUCAAGCAACAGUUUGGCAAGCUACAGAGCUCAAAUUUCGAGGCUCACAAUCUAGCUAAGCAUGCUCUUAAGUUAGGGAUGGGCCGCCAUGUUUGGUUAGGAUACCCCGGUAAUCUUUUGUUCGUCCCUCAUUGCUCCGAAACUAGCCGUGCUUCGCUAUUGUUGCUCGCCUUCCUCAUUUUUCUCUCAUGGUUGAAAGUGGUGCCCGUGGCCCAUGAGGCCACACGCAGCGCGAAACAACGCCCCCUGCCCAGGCUAUCUUUCUUUUGUCCUUUUUGGGUUUCCUUAGAGCUUUUUGACCCCUUUUUUCUUUCUCCUUUCUUUUUUUUGUUCUUCUUGGAAACGGAAAAAGCCUACCACCUUUCUCUGCAUCUCCCUUCUCUGGUUUCCCAUCCCCAAUCCCCCACUCUCAGUGAGCUCCUCCUCCUCCAGCAGCACCAGCAGGAUAUCACAUUGCAACCCUCCCUCGCCGUAGAAGAAAGGAGAGCUUGCCGGGAUCGAGUCCGCGUCGUGGUGGGCGGGGCAGCUCUUGGUGGCGCCGCCGCGGGCUCGCUGUCGUGUGUCGUCCAGCCGAACCGAUGUGCCCUCCGCUCCGCCGCCAUUCUCUCCCGGAAGGUAGUUGAGAGGAUUAAAUUAGCGGGUAUGGCUGGGUUUUUUAUGGGCGAGGAGACCCAGGAGCGAAUGGAUCUAUUGCUCAUCCGGGCCUUGGUCCUUUUGAGCUUCGCGGCGCAUCUUACCAUGGCCCUGUUAGCCGGGAUCUGUCGCCGUAGAGACUCCGGCUUGCGGAGGUUUCUGGUGUGGUUUGCGUACUACGUCUACGUAACCGAGAUAGGCACGCCAAUGGCCCUCGGCUGGGUGUUCCUCGACCCCGCGGCCGCAGAUAGCGAGCAGAAGAUGUUUGCGCUCUGGGCACCUUUUCUUCUUCUCCACCUUGGUCACCCGGACAACAUCUCCAGCUACGCGUUGGACAACAAGAAGCUGACGCCGCCCAACAUCGUUGAUUUAUGCGCGACGACGGGGCUCUGCGUGCCGCCUUUUUCAUCAUGCUCUUCUUUGGUUCAUAUAAGUAUGUGGAGAGGGUGGUUGCCCUACACCGAGCUUCCUUUGCAAACAUUCGCCGCAAACGAGGGAAAGGAGUUACGGCGCAUCAGUAUUCAGGACAAAGGCCGUAGUAAGCGGGAUAAUGAUGACGUCCUGCUUGAUGCUCACGGCGUUCUCGGUGUCACCAUGGCUGCCUUGGCUGACUAUCAAGUCAGCAGUGAUGGUUAUCGGAGUUCUUAUUCUGGUUGGAAGGAGGUGAGCAAUGUGGUGGAGAUGGAGGCGUCGCUCAUGUACGACAUCUUGUACAGUACACCAAGGCAAGCGUUGAGCGUGAUCCACACUUGGGGUGGCUAUACCAUCCGUGUCCUCUCGCCGCUCGCCACCGUCACGGCACUCUGUCUCUUCCACGGUGAAAAAGGCUUGGCCCUGGUGAAUGCAGACCGGAUGACCACAUACAUCUUGCUGGUUGACCAAGAAGAAGAAGGCAAACAAGUAAGGCCGCUUCUAGGUCGCCGGACCUUCUGGUACAAUUUCAAUUUGCCACGGUGGGUGAAGCACGCAUGUCGCCGGGCUGGGAGGCAAUUAUGGUAUUUCCCACGUUGCCUUCUCGUCUCUUUGGAUCCGUCCCGGCUGUCACUGAGAAGCGGCCCAAGUGGCCACAGGUUGCUGUCGGGCUCGAGCGUCGGACAGCGCAACUUGUUGCACGAGUGCAGUACUCCUCAGGGUACACUGGAGAAGGUGGUUUCUAUUUUCGCAGGACCGGGGAAGAAGAAGAUUGAUGUCAAGGAUGAGUUGUUGGAAGCUAUGUGUGCGCGCAUGUACUGCUGGAAUCUGGCACAACAGCCGGGAGGCGUCCCAGUCCCACAAGGGAAAUCAGUGAUUGCAUGGGCUAUAAUCAGGAGCACUACAGCCAAGGUCCCCAGGGAUAGAAGUGAAGCGUCAGUCAAAUAUGAGACGAAGAUCCAAGCUAUAUCAGAUUAUAUGAUGUUCCUCCUCACUCAACGUAAGCACAUGGUACUGAAGCCAGGUGACGAGGGCAGCGACUACAAAAAAUCGCUCCUCGAUUUGAAGGAAAUAUGGCGUGUAACAGGAACAAGCGGUCCUCCAAAAACAAGAGCCAGAAGGCUUGCCAAAAGCCUUCUAUACAUGGAUGUGACUCAGGGCAGUACCAGGAAAUCAAGUCUUCUUUUCAACACAAACAAAACUCUCGCGCUUGGUGCUGACUGGGCCUUGAAGCUGUUACAUGAGCUGGACCGGUAUGGUUCUGGAAGGGAUCCAGUGUCUCUCGGAUACAGACCUGAAGAUUUCAUCCUGGUAUUCACAGAUGAGGCACAAAUCAAUAUUAAACGGUGUAGGGACAGUGGGAAACAAUUGGAACUCCUCGAUUAUAUGUUGAAGCUAAUUCUUGAUUCAUGGGUACGUUUUCUCACCUUUACGUCCCAAGAAUGCAGCAGGGAAUCCCAUGCCAACCAGCUCAGCUGUGGUGGUGAGCUCUUAACCAUCGUCUGGCUGAUGAAACAACACAGUGCACUGAAUCUCAUUUCCAAGGGUGAAUAA
rnacentral:rRNA from 1 species